UCUUAGCUAAAGAGUACUGAAAAGUUUAUUUUUUUUUUAAACAGGGAAACUAGGCAAACAAACCUCCCCAGUUGUCUAAAAGCACAAGCACACAAAGCUCUCGAGCCUGAGGAGUGUUCCUGCGUGUGAUCUGGACGUGCUGCUGCUGCCCUUGGAAGCUGGAUCUUGGUCUAUCUGCUCUGACACCUGCCAGGAAGAUGGAAGGAAACUCGCAUCUUCUGGAGACAGCUUCCCUGGGAUGCCAUGCCUGUGGGCAUUGUUGCUGGGAUUCCUGCUCUCUCCUCAGAGCUCCCAAAUCUCUCCAGAGGCACGUGCCAGGCGAGCAGCUUGGCAAAGACUAUGCUUGCUCAGUGGAGGGAGCGUUCUCAGCUGGAAGGUGUCUCUGAGGCUAUUUGCUGCAGCCACAUGGAAAAGGUACCCUGUCCCUGUGAUGGGAGCUCAGGCUCAGCACACACAGCAGUACCCUCCUGGCCACGGGCAUCUGUCACUCCAAGGCCAGGGAGAUGGGGCCUGAGAUGCCAUGAGCUGACAGGGUUGGUUCUUCAGCUCCUGCUUUACCUGACUUGCCUCAUUUAACUGGCAGAAAGUUUUCCUGGAGGAGAAGUGGCUCGUUCCUGCCUUGUUAGCCAUGAUGUUCCACAGAG